rnacentral:rRNA from 1 species
CCUACGGGAGGCAGCAGUGAGGAAUAUUGGUCAAUGGUCGGGAGACUGAACCAGCCAAGCCGCGUGAGGGAUGAAGGUACAGAGUAUCGUAAACCUCUUUUGUCAGGGAACAAAGGCGGGGACGUGUCCCCGGAUGAGUGUACCUGAAGAAAAAGCAUCGGCUAACUCCGUGCCAGCGGCCGCGGUAAUACGGAGGAUGUGAGCGUUAUCCGGAUUUGUUGGGUUGAAGGGGUGCGCAGGCGGUCUGUUAAGUCAGCGGUCAAAGCCCGGGGUGCAACCCCGGCCCGCCGUUGAAACUGGCAGUCUCGAGUUGGAGAGAAGUAGGCGGAAUGCGCGGUGUAGCGGUGAAAUGCAUAGAUAUCGCGCAGAACUCCGAUUGCGAAGGCAGCAUGCCGGCUCCACACUGACGCUGAGGCACGAAAGCGUGGGUAUCGAACAGGAUUAGAUACCCCGGUAGUC